rnacentral:rRNA from 1 species
AGAGUUUGAUCCUGGCUCAGGAUCAACGCUGGCGGCGUGCCUAACACAUGCAAGUCGAACGUCUUUUUUUGUUUCGGCAAGAGAAGGAGUGGCGGACGGGUGAGUAGCACAUGGGUGACCUAGCCUGCAGUGAGGGAUACCGGCGAGAAAUCGCCGACAAGCCCGCAUAGGUUCUGCUUCGUGAGGGAGCAGAGCAAAGC